UUUGAAACACCAGUUCCUGUACGAUCACCGAAGUUAAGCAACGUCGAGCCUGGUCAGUACCUAGAUGGGUGAGCCCUUUGGAACCCCAGGUGUUGUAAG